UACGGGGGGAGCAAGCGUUGUUCGGAUUUACUGGGCGUAAAGAGCGCGCAGGCGGUCGUUCAAGUCGAGUGUGAAAGCCCCCGGCUCAACUGGGGAGGGUCACUCGAUACUGAUCGACUUGAAGGCAGGAGAGGGAAGCGGAAUUCCCGGUGUAGUGGUGAAAUGCGUAGAUAUCGGGAGGAACACCAGUGGCGAAGGCGGCUUCCUGGCCUGUUCUUGACGCUGAGGCGCGAAAGCUAGGGGAGCAGACGGG
rnacentral:rRNA from 1 species